AAUGAGUUGUUUGGUCGCUUUUCAUUAUAAGUCUUAUGGGACUUUUUUGAUACUCAAAAAAGUCCCUAUAAUCUCCAAAGUGGCAUUACCCACUACAGAAAUUAUAGAGCC
rnacentral:ncRNA from 1 species